GGAAGGGUCCUAGCUCAGUAGCAGAGCACCUGCUUUGCAUGCAGAAGGUCCUUGAUUCAAUCCCUUCUGGCUUUUCCA